GACAGAGGUGCCAAGCGUUAGGCGGAAUCACUGGGCUUAAAGCGUGUGUAGGUGGAUGUCUAAGUACCUUGUGAAAUCCCAUGGCUCAACCUUGGAACUGCCUUUGAUACUGGGGAUCUCGAGUCCGGAAGAGGUGAGUGGAACUGCGAGUGUAGAGGUGAAAUUCGUAGAUAUUCGCAAGAACACCAGUGGCGAAGGCGGCUCACUGGUCCGGUACUGACGCUGAGGUGCGAAAGCGUGGGGAGCAAACAGG
rnacentral:rRNA from 1 species